AGGGAUGAAGGGCCACAAUGGAUUUAAACAUAGCUGCAUUUUUUUAGAAGGAUUUUUAAUCCAUUUUAGUAUUCUCUUUUGAAACUCAAAUAUUUUCAUAUGUUAUUUCUAUCUUAUAUUUAGGUUGAGUCAUAUCAUUUUGCAUUUGUUGUUGUAUGCAUAAUUGGUAAUGCAAAAUAUAGUUUUGAUUAUUCUAUUCAUUGUGCAUAAAAACCAAUGUGGGAGUCAUAUAUUGGUACCCAAGAUGUUUCCCAAAGCAGCUAAUUUAUUAGCUUUGUUAUGUACUUAUAUUGUAUUUAGUUAUCUCAUUCCACUCAAUAUGAUACGUCGUUACUUUCGGUAGGAUUAGU
rnacentral:misc_RNA from 1 species